GCACGUGCGGGUAUGGAACAUUGCAUGUGCUGAUUGAACAGUACACUACACAUGCUGGGUCGGUGCUGGACAAAGCAAGUUAUUCUAAAAUGAAGCUAGUUAUCCUUGCUCUUGUAUCACUCUGUUUCUCAGAUUUCACUGCAGCAGAGUGCGCAAAAGAUAUGCUGGAGUCGUUAUCUGAAGCCAAGGCUGAGUGCGAUUCAAGAUAUAGACAGGAACACGGUCUCGGUACUAGAAAACCCUCAGAUUUGUUUCACAUCACAAGAUGCUGUAUGCUGAUUUACGGCAUGGCUUGCAUUCCCUUACGGCUCUCAGAAAAAGGAUGCGAUCAGCGGAAUAUUGCGCGUUUAAAAAAGAUGUGGGGCAAGCUAAUAGAGGCUGCAUGUGAACCAUCAAACUGGAACUGCCUUCUUGAAGCAAAGUGCGACGCCCCAACAAUAUCCGACGCGAACACUGAUUGCUACAAAACAUAUAACCAGGAACACGGCGUCGAUACUCGAAAGCCUAGUGACCCACUUGAACCAAGUGGGGAUGUGGAACUACUCUGCUGUAUGUUAAAAUACAACAAGUAUUGCGUUCCGAAACUCCUAGAAGAAAAAGGGUGCCACCCCGACACUGUUCUACAUUCUGGUACGGCGAUAGAGACUAGAAUGAAAACAACCUGUCCAUCGUCCAAACCGAAGUGCGUCCCUCCACCACAGUGCAAUGAUAAAACCUUAUCAGACGCCAGGCUCAUUUGCGAGCAAAGAUAUAAAGAAGCACACGAACCAACAGGCCCGAAACGUCGUGCAGACCCACAACCUAGAGAUCUGAGCCGGGAAGAGAUGCACAAAGAACAUUGCUGUGUAAUGGAAUACAGCAGGGAUUGCGUUCUGGGAUAUCUAAAAGAACACGGAUGCAGUGAUCCAGAUUUUCUUGAGAUUUUUCUCGAGAAUAUACGGACCGAAUGUGGAGCAUCCAAGUGGAACUGUACAGAGUGCAAAAGAGAAGAUAUGGUUGAGAGAUUUUCUGAGGCCGACGCUGAGUGCGAUGCGAGGUACAGACAAGAACAUGGUCUCACUACCGGAAAACCCACAGAUUUGGUUCCCGAUACGACCAGAUGUUGUAUGUUGCUUUACGGCAAGGACUGUGUUCCCCUUCGACUCGUAGAAAAAGGAUGCGAUGCUUGGAUUCUCGCAAGUUCCGAAGAAAUGUGGAGCAAGCGAAUAUUGGCUGCAUGUGACCCAUCGACCUCGAAGUAUUGACCAAAGGAGCAUUAGUGGAAAAAAACAGGGUAGCCCUGAGACAAUAGGAUGACGUCACGACCAAUGAGAACGGCCUGCAGGGGGCGCAAGGAUUCACUUCUCUCUUGGACACUGACGGGUCUCGACACGCAAAUUCUGCUCCUGGCGUUGGCCGUCAGUGGAAGAGCGUAGCUUCGGUGGGGUUCUGUCUGCCUCUGAUGGGGUGGAGAUGUGUGGUUCGUCACUGGUGAAUGGUGUUCGACGAUGCAGGUGGAUUUUGUGACGAGCGGAUUUACAAUGAGGGAAUGCUGUGAACGAGAAAAAUGAUGAGCUGUCCUAACCUGCCCAGACAUGUCAUGAUGACGUCACAGCUGACGUCACAGGAUGUCCGGAACUGGUGCUGCGAUGCUUUGCAAGCUGGUUCUGUGCUCCGUCGCCCAGCGGCCUUUCCGGGCCGCUUUCUACAAGAUGACGUCGCUGAUCUUCAACGAUACUCCUUCUCUCCACUCUAUCUCUAUCUAUUUUUUUUAUUUUUAUCAGCUCAAGUAGCCGGAAACUCACAUCUUCGUCUGGACGUGUCUUAGAUGAUCCCCAAUUAGUGUAAUGACUCCCUGGUGGGUCCUGAUUAAUGUGGGGGGUCCCAAUUAGCUCUAAUUGCUAAUUAAUGGCGUCCAGGCGAAGAUGUGAGUUUCCGGAUACUUGAGCUGAUACAUUACUACUGAUAUAUCUAUGUGGGACAAGUCAAGCUACUAACAGGGGAUAUACCCUAGACAAGUUAUAAAAGGGGGACUCUGAAUUGCUUUAUGAGUACCCAAAUAUGUCGUCUUAUUCGUUUUCAGGCUUGCAGUGCAAUCAAAAAACUAUAUCCGAUGCCGAAUAUGUGUGCUUCAGGAAGUACGAGCAGGAACAUGGCAUUAUUUCUAGAGGCCUGA